rnacentral:rRNA from 1 species
CCAGACUCCUACGGGAGGCAGCAGUGGGGGAUAUUGCACAAUGGGGGAAACCCUGAUGCAGCGACGCCGCGUGGGUGAAGAAGCGCCUCGGCGCGUAAAGCCCUGUCGGCAGGGAAGAAAAUGACGGUACCUGAAGAAGAAGCCCCGGCUAACUACGUGCCAGCAGCCGCGGUAAUACGUAGGGGGCAAGCGUUAUCCGGAUUUACUGGGUGUAAAGGGAGCGUAGACGGUAUGGCAAGUCUGAUGUGAAAACCCGGGGCUCAACCUCGGGACUGCAUUGGAAACCGUCGGACUAGAGUGUCGGAGAGGCAAGUGGAAUUCCUAGUGUAGCGGUGAAAUGCGUAGAUAUUAGGAGGAACACCAGUGGCGAAGGCGGCUUGCUGGACGAUGACUGACGUUGAGGCUCGAAAGCGUGGGGAGCAAACAGGAUUAGAUACCCCUGUA